rnacentral:rRNA from 1 species
UGAGGAAUAUUGCGCAAUGGGCGAAAGCCUGACGCAGCGACGCCGCGUGGAGGAUGAAGGUCUUCGGAUUGUAAACUCCUGUCGAGCGGGACGAAUGCGGUGAGCGUUAACAGCGCUCGCCGUUGACGGUACCGCUGGAGGAAGCCCCGGCUAACUCCGUGCCAGCAGCCGCGGUAAUACGGAGGGGGCCAGCGUUGUUCGGAAUCAUUGGGCGUAAAGGGCGCGUAGGCGGCCGAUCAAGUCCGACGUGAAAUUCCUCGGCUCAACCGAGGGCCUGCGUCGGAUACUGCUCGGCUUGAGUCCCGGAGAGGGUAGUGGAAUUCCCAGUGUAGCGGUGAAAUGCGUAGAUACUGGGAGGAACACCGGUGGCGAAGGCGGCUACCUGGACGGGUACUGACGCUGAGGCGCGAAAGCUAGGGGAGCAAACAG